GUGCAGAUAUGAUACAGAACUCUAUCCUGGGAUGUCGAAUGUCCAGACCAGGACAGUGGCUUCGCUUGUUACUUUCUUCUAAAGGAAAAUUCAAGACUGGGGAUGAAAGACAAACAUAUGCUAUUGAACAUCCAGAACCCCUUCUGCAUUUUGCACUCAGCUCAGGCAAUCACUCAGAUCCCGCGGUUCGAGUGUAUACACCGAAAAGAGUACACGAGGAGCUGGAAGUCGCAAAAGAAGAUUAUAUCAGAGCUACCUUUGGUGUGAAGAAGGAUCAGAAAAUAGUGUUACCAAAAGUUGUGGAGUCCUUUGCUAAGGAUUCUGGCCUAUGUCCUGCCGGUGUGUUAGAGAUGAUCCAGCAAUCUUUGCCGGAAUCUCUUAGAAAGAGCAUUAAGAAGAUUCCACAGGGAAAGGGCCGCAAGAACAUUGAAUGGAUUCCUCAUAAUUUUGCUUUCCGGUAUCUAAUAAUGAAGGACCUGGUGAAAUGAUGAUGGUAUGUUAAGAUUAAUCGAAGAAUGUGGUUGUUUCUUUCUUUUUUUUCUUUGAAAGAAGUCUCAAUUCUUUUUCCCAUCACUUGUGUAUACAUGAAUGGUAGUUUUCAGUUAGAAUGGAGGAUGAUCAAA
rnacentral:misc_RNA from 1 species